rnacentral:rRNA from 1 species
AGAGUUUGAUCAUGGCUCAGAUUGAACGCUGGCGGCAUGCUUUACACAUGCAAGUCGAACGGCAGCACGGGAGCAAUCCUGGUGGCGAGUGGCGAACGGGUGAGUAAUGCAUCGGAACGUGCCCAGUCGUGGGGGAUAACGCAGCGAAAGCUGCGCUAAUACCGCAUACGAUCUAUGGAUGAAAGCGGGGGACCGUAAGGCCUCGCGCGAUUGGAGCGGCCGAUGUCAGAUUAGGUAGUUGGUGGGGUAAAGGCUCACCAAGCCAACGAUCUGUAGCUGGUCUGAGAGGACGACCAGCCACACUGGGACUGAGACACGGCCCAGACUCCUACGGGAGGCAGCAGUGGGGAAUUUUGGACAAUGGGCGCAAGCCUGAUCCAGCAAUGCCGCGUGCAGGAAGAAGGCCUUCGGGUUGUAAACUGCUUUUGUACGGAACGAAACGGUCCGGGUUAAUACCCUGGGCUAAUGACGGUACCGUAAGAAUAAGCACCGGCUAACUACGUGCCAGCAGCCGCGGUAAUACGUAGGGUGCAAGCGUUAAUCGGAAUUACUGGGCGUAAAGCGUGCGCAGGCGGUUUUGUAAGACAGGCGUGAAAUCCCCGGGCUCAACCUGGGAAUUGCGCUUGUGACUGCAAGGCUGGAGUGCGGCAGAGGGGGAUGGAAUUCCGCGUGUAGCAGUGAAAUGCGUAGAUAUGCGGAG